rnacentral:rRNA from 1 species
GGGGAAUAUUGGACAAUGGGGGGAACCCUGUUCAAGCAUUGCGCCGUGUGUGAGAAAGGCCUUUUGGUGGAAAACAACUUAAACGGUGGAGGAGGCCCUUUGGGUUAUUCCCAAAGUUAGUGGGAGGUACUUCGAGAAAUAGCAACCGGCAACCUCGGUGCCAGCAGCCGCGGUAAUACAGAGGGUGCGAGCGUUAAUCGGAUUUACUGGGCGUAAAGCGUGCGUAGGCGGCUUUUUAAGUCGGAUGUGAAAUCCCCGAGCUUAACUUGGGAAUUGCAUUCGAUACUGGGAAGCUAGAGUAUGGGAGAGGAUGGUAGAAUUCCAGGUGUAGCGGUGAAAUGCGUAGAGAUCUGGAGGAAUACCGAUGGCGAAGGCAGCCAUCUGGCCUAAUACUGACGCUGAGGUACGAAAGCAUGGGGAGCAAACA